UCUUAACAGCUAAUCCAAUCGCACUCAAACGCCAUACCAAUAAGCCAGUGGAUAAGAACUGUUUGAGUUCUGAUGACAAGGAAAGGAGUCUAGAAAGCACACCAUGUGAGGCCAACCUCUUCAAAAGAAACAAAAUGCAAUUUUUCUUUGAAUUUAAGUCUUUUCUUCAAACCCAGUAGACAGGAUAUCCUAAUGCAGUGUUCUACCAGCACCAAGAAAAUAGAAAAUUAAAUCAACCUUUGCAUUUCUAAUUUAUAAUAAUUUGUUUGAAGGCCACAGAACGUGUAGAUGGUAGUAGUAAUAAUAUACGAAAUAAAUCUUGAUUUUAUUAAUACUAGUUCUUGCACGGUUGCACCGUCUCUGAUCUUGGUAAGGUAGUUUAUUGUGAAAAUUUCAUGGAUAAAGCUUGGCAUUAUUAAUUUGGAAAAGGCUGUUUUCCUACCAUCUUGGCCUAACAGCUCUGUUUUGGUGCUUCUUUCAGGCUCUACUGGCACAAUAAGUUGAUGUUACUAAUCUUGAACAGACUGUUCAUGGAUGAUUGCAUUUAGGGGCAUGCUAUGUUCACAUAUAUGAUUUGGAUGUAGAUUACCUCAUCCUAGUUCCUAAGCAGAAUCAUGAGUAGUUUUCAGUAAUUGUACUUCACUUGAAUAUAGAAAGAAGAACACAGCUCGAACUUUUAUGUAUCCAAGGCUUCAGUUAGGUGAUCGUUUUUCAUGCAACAGAUAGGCUAGCCUUCAAUAGCUUCCUCCAAGCCAUCCCAGCUCUGCUUAUUUCAAAGACAUGUUCAUCCUUUGUAUCUUCUAUGCAGUAGCUGAUGAUGCUUCUUUUCUACGAAUAAUUCUCUGAUUUCCAUCAAUAUCAAUACACUCCUUUCACCUGAUCCAGGUUUGAAUAGUUUAUUCUAUGUCUCUUAUCCAAAUCAGAAUAUGUGCAGGGCCUUGGCAGGUGAUGCUUAAACAAGCAGAUGGCUCAUACUCUUGUGUAGCAGAGAGUGUGACGCGCUUCACACUUGGUGAGUCUGCCACUUGGGAGGAAGAAGAUGUUGAAAUUGAAACAUCUUCUGAUUGGCGCAGUUGAGUUAGCAGCAGCAAGCAGAGAAGCACACAUCAGAUGCUUAUUGAAAGUCAAGCAGAGAAGUUUCACGCGAGUUUUCGGUGUUGGAGAUUGAUUUGUUCUUUCUUUCAUCUUUUCCUACUCUAUAUAUUUUAUACCCACUUCAAUCCUAGUUUCCUUUCAUAAAUUUCAUUUAUGUAUAUCUUUUGAUAAAGUGAGUAAGGCACAUAGACGCGGCUAUUGUAAAGAACGCACAGGAACUUUGGUCAUGUUCUAUUCUCUGCUUAGUUGCAGAAUGCAAUGCUCAACUGAGCCCAUUACUGUUUAACCCUUUGGUUUGGAAGGAAAUGCUCCUAAUUUGAUAGGAGCACAUAAAAUAUAGCAAGAAUUAUGAGAUUCA